GGAAAUCUCUCCAGGCCCGGACACUGGAAGGAUUGACAGAUUGAUAGCUCUUUCUUGAUUCUGUGGGUGGUGGUGCAUGGCCGUUCUUAGUUGGUGGAGCGAUCUGUCUGGUUAAUUCCGAUAACGAACGAGACCCCAACCUGCUAACUAGCCCUCGGGUCCUGCUUCUGUUGGGCCCGACGGAAUGAUUCGCUUCUUAGAGGGACUCGCGGCGCCUAGCCGCACGAAGGGGGGCGAUAA
rnacentral:rRNA from 1 species